AAAGAUAAGGAUCUUAAACCGUCGAAUACGGUAUUUCAUGGUGUGGUUCCUGGUAAGUCUACGUAUCCUGUUGGUAAGAUAGCUUUGGAGGUAGCUUUUGGAGAUGACUACGAUUCAAGGUCAGAAACAGUGACAUUUGAGGUGGUCAAGAUCAAAAGUCCGUACCACGCUCUGUUUGGGCGGCCGGUUUAUGCUAAGUUUAUGGCAAGGCCAUGUUAUGUUUACUUGCAGCUUAAAAUGCCAGGUCAUAAGGGGACUAUCACAGUACAUGGAAGUAGAAAGAUUGCUUUGGAGUGUGAAGAAGGCGAU
rnacentral:rRNA from 1 species